CGGGGUGCUGCAGCAGUGGGGAAUAUUGCACAAUGGAGGAAACUCUGAUGCAGCAACGCCGCGUGGAGGAUGACACUUUUCGGAGCGUAAACUCCUUUUAUAUAGGAAGAAGAUGACGGUACUAUAUGAAUAAGCGCCGGCUAACUCCGUGCCAGCAGCCGCGGUAAUACGGAGGGCGCAAGCGUUACUCGGAAUCACUGGGCGUAAAGAGCGUGUAGGCGGAUUAAAAAGUCAGAAGUGAAAUCCUAUAGCUUAACUAUAGAACUGCUUCUGAAACUCUUAAUCUAGAAUAUGGGAGAGGUAGAUGGAAUUUCUGGUGUAGGGGUAAAAUCCGUAGAGAUCAGAAGGAAUACCGAUUGCGAAGGCGAUCUACUAGAACAUUAUUGACGCUGAGACGCGAAAGCGUGGGGAGCAAACAGGAUUAGAUACCCCUGUAGUC
rnacentral:rRNA from 1 species